GUAAGCUUCCCUUAGGAAUUCAUGGAGCAAGACUGCAGCAACUUUCUACACCGAUUUUCUUUAGGCGUCCAGAUGGUGCAUGAACAGUGAAGAAUGGGUGGAUAUUUUAAGACAUCUUAACUAAGGAAGUUAUGGAAUGUGGAGGAGAAUCACAGAACUCACGGGAGUGUGGAGAGAGUGGAGUGGGGCAAUCAAAGAGGACUUGCAGGAGGAGAGAAGACGAGUUGCUUGCCUCAGUGGUAAGUAUCAUGCUGUAAACAGUUUAAUAUCUGUAGAAUAAAUGAUCUGUAACACAGCACUUGUGUAUCUAUACAGUUACAGAAACACUAUAAAGUGGAAUUUUCACUCAGCCAGGGGCUUAGAUUGCUAACGGUUU
ensembl:lncRNA